ensembl:lncRNA
GUUUCCUCGAUCUCUCCUCGUGUUACCCACUCUCUCUCCUUUUCUCUCCACAGGUAUCAACUUGGGCACAAUAGCACAGUUAGUUUGCUUUGAAUGGCUCUCACCUCUGGGCUGGACACAGCGUACUGUAAGUACAGGUUUCCUCUGUUUCUCCUUGUGUUACUCACUCUCUCUUUCCUUUUCUCUCCACAGGCAGCGGCGUAAGUACAGGUUUCCUCGAUCUCUCCUCGUGUUACCCACUCUCUCUCCUUUUCUCUCCACAGGUAUCAACUUGGGCACAAUAGCACAGUUAGUUUGCUUUGAAUGGCUCUCACCUCUGGGCUGGACACAGCGUACUGUAAGUACAGGGUUCGCUCUAUUCCUCCUCGUGUUAUUCACUCUCUCUUUCCUUUCCUCUCCACAGGUAUCAACUUGGACGCAAAGCACAGUUACUCUGCUUUGGAUGGCUUUCACCUCUGGGCUGGACACAGCGUACUGUGCUAUCUCCGGAGAUCUGAAGCACGCUCACAACAU